GGGCAAGGAGAUAUUUCUUUUCUCUUCUCAAUCUCUUUCAUCUCCAUCUUUUUCUUUGCAAAUUUUCUCCUCUUUUUUGCUUUACUUGUAGCCUAUUCUUUACUCUUUCCUUUUGUUCUUCCAUCUUUAUUUCUUUCCACAAUGAUAAGAAAUGAUUUAGUGCUAGUUGAUUUAAAAAAAACAGAAAGAGAGAACCAAAAUUACCAAAGAAGUAAAGGCCUCACUUCGACCAAAAGAGGGUAGAAAUUUUUCCAAGGAAAGAAAAUGAAGAAAGAAAAAGAAAAUCACUUCCUAGGGUUUUUGUAAAAAGGCAGGAACAAAGAGAAGUUAAGUUGGGGAUUCAACCAAGGUACUGGAGAUCAGUCCCAGCAGCCGCAGCAGCAACAGUAGUAGUGCUCACACAGAGACCGAUCAGAUCUGCCAGUGUUUACUAGUCACCUCUACAGUUAUAUUUUGGUAGGGCCCAUGUAUAG
rnacentral:misc_RNA from 1 species